rnacentral:lncRNA from 1 species
GCUACUUGGAAGAGGAAAAAAAAAACAGCUCAAAAUAGUCUCUUGAUUGUGCAGAGGAGAAAGAAUACUUGGAAUCAAAAAGUGAACAAGGGUAGAGGGACAUCAGAAGAGAUCCUGGGCAAUCACUUGUUGAAGAUAUUGGAAAAAGGAUUCCUACUCAAGCACAAGUCAGAUUUAAUGGCCCCUGUGGUCUUUUCCAACUCCAUGAACCUCUACUGAGUGGAAUAGCACUGAGUUCCAUGAGUCUACCAAGUCAGUGGACAUUUCUUUCUAUAGCUGUAACUUUUUCUCUACUUUAAGUAAUAGAUAUUUGAGCCUCUUAAGUGGUUUAUCCCCAGUGGGAUAUAAUACUAAUAAGAGCUUAAAUUCAUAAAAUAUCUUUCUGGUUUACAAAGUUAUUUCCUUAUGAGAAUCCAUGAAGUAGGAAGCAUAAACUUUAUCCUUAUUAUCCCAUUUUACAGAUAAGAAAACUAAAGUUGAGAAAGAUUAAGAACACUGAAGGCAAAGAAACAGAAAUCUAUCAGAGGGAGAGGAGAGCUAGGACAUCAGAUUUAAUUAGAUUAAACACUUGCCAAUGAUUAGAUUUCUGUUUCACAUCUUCUCACCUAAGACAGCUGCGGGCAUCUUCUAUUUGCAUCAAGAAUUGGCAGGAACCUGAUAAUUGCCAAUCAAAGACAGCUG